UACAGAGGUCCCCAAGCGUUUGUUCGGGAUUCACUGGGCGUAAAGGGUGCGUAGGUGGUGAGGUAAGUCGGAUGUGAAAUCUCCAAGCUCAACUUGGAAACUGCAUUGGAAACUACCUUGCUAGAGGAUUUGAGGGGGGAUUGGAAUACUUGGUGUAGCAGUGAAAUGCGUAGAUAUCAAGUGGAACACCAGUGGCGAAGGCGAAUCCCUGGAAAAUACCUGACACUGAGGCACGAAAGCUAGGGGAGCAAACAGG
rnacentral:rRNA from 1 species